rnacentral:rRNA from 1 species
AUACGGAGGAUCCGAGCGUUAUCCGGAUUUAUUGGGUUUAAAGGGUGCGCAGGCGGCCAUUUAAGUCAGCGGUUAAAUCGUGGGGCUCAACCCCAUUCUGCCGUUGAUACUGGGUGGCUUGAUUGCGGUCGAGGUUGGCGGAAUUCGUUGUGUAGCGGUGAAAUGCAUAGAUAUGACGAAGAACACCGAUUGCGUAGGCAGCUGACCAGACCGCAAAUGACGCUCAUGCACGAAAGUGCGGGGAUCGAACAGGAUUAGAUACCCUGGUAGUCCGCACAGUAAACGAUGAAUACUUGUUUCCGGCGAUAUAAUGUCGGAGGCAAAGCGAAAGCGAUAAGUAUUCCACCUGGGGAGUACGCCGGCAACGGUGAAACUUAAAGGAAUUGACGGGG